rnacentral:misc_RNA from 1 species
GUUUCUCCAUUAAUUCAACUUUCUGUAUAUGUUUUUGCAAUGUAUUACAUGUCUACGUUAAAGUUAAAGUAUAAAACACAAUAUAAAGUCACAAUCUUUAUAUUUAGAAUGAAAAGUCAGAAUCAACAAACUCUUGCUGCAGAGCUUCUUCUAACAAAAACUGAGAUUGUUCCAUCAACUCAGGACUCAAUCUGAACAUCAAAACACAAAACUCCAUCUGAUUAAGAGCUCCAUCACCAUCAAAAUCCCCUUCUUUAACCAUACCCUUAAGAUCAUCAUCACUCAAAUCUUGCAACCCUAACAAAGCUGAAUUCUUCUUUAAACUCUCAAAUGUGAUAACCCCUUUAUCCCUAUCCAUCAAUAGCUGAAACCCUUUACACAGCUCACCAAUUAAACCAUCCCCACCAAGUUUUUCAGCCAUAAGAGGCAAAAAAUCAUUAAAAUUGGAUUUUCUUGAAGUAGCCAUUGAAGAAAUAAAAGUUGGAAUUGGUCAGAAAAUUGAUUGAUGAAGAAAAGGGGUUGUGGAGAAUUGUAUAUAAAGGAGAAAUUUGGACGGUACAAAGGGGUUUCGAAGAAAACGCCAUGGAAAAUACAGCAAAGAUACA